rnacentral:rRNA from 1 species
AACGAACGCUGGCGGCAGGCUUAACACAUGCAAGUCGAACGCCCCGCAAGGGGAGUGGCAGACGGGUGAGUAACGCGUGGGAACGUACCCUUUACUACGGAAUAACUCAGGGAAACUUGUGCUAAUACCGUAUGUGCCCUACGGGGGAAAGAUUUAUCGGUAAAGGAUCGGCCCGCGUUGGAUUAGCUAGUUGGUGGGGUAAAGGCCUACCAAGGCGACGAUCCAUAGCUGGUCUGAGAGGAUGAUCAGCCACAUUGGGACUGAGACACGGCCCAAACUCCUACGGGAGGCAGCAGUGGGGAAUAUUGGACAAUGGGCGCAAGCCUGAUCCAGCCAUGCCGCGUGAGUGAUGAAGGUCUUAGGAUUGUAAAGCUCUUUCACCGGUGAAGAUAAUGACGGUAACCGGAGAAGAAGCCCCGGCUAACUUCGUGCCAGCAGCCGCCGUAAGAC